rnacentral:rRNA from 1 species
GAUGAACGCUGGCGGCGUGCCUAAUACAUGCAAGUCGAGCGAACAGACGAGGAGCUUGCUCCUCUGACGUUAGCGGCGGACGGGUGAGUAACACGUGGAUAACCUACCUAUAAGACUGGGAUAACUUCGGGAAACCGGAGCUAAUACCGGAUAAUAUAUUGAACCGCAUGGUUCAAUGGUGAAAGACGGUUUUGCUGUCACUUAUAGAUGGAUCCGCGCCGCAUUAGCUAGUUGGUAAGGUAACGGCUUACCAAGGCAACGAUGCGUAGCCGACCUGAGAGGGUGAUCGGCCACACUGGAACGGAGACACGGUCCAGACUCCUACGGGAGGCAGCAGUAGGGAAUCUUCCGCAAUGGGCGAAAGCCUGACGGAGCAACGCCGCGUGAGUGAUGAAGGUCUUCGGAUCGUAAAACUCUGUUAUUAGGGAAGAACAAAUGUGUAAGUAACUAUGCACGUCUUGACGGUACCUAAUCAGAAAGCCACGGCUAACUACGUG